rnacentral:lncRNA from 1 species
GGCCUAGUCUUAGUGACGGUGCCCUCGGCCAAGCGGGGGCUACUUCGAGCCCUUUUUAACCAGUCCCCGCGUCCUGCCCCCCUCCUAGGCCCGGCCUUGGCGCCGGGAGCCCUCGGGGACCAGGCGGCACCCGCGCCGGAAGGGAAAUGGACGGCCCUGCCCCCCCCCCAGCUUUUCACGGUCAAUGGUACGUCCCGUCCCGCGUAAUGGUACGCUCGGCCCCCCCCCGCCGCAGGGGUGGUACAGCCCAAGCCUUUAUAAGCGGCCGCCAGAGCCAUUCGCGCCCUUUCGUGCUCAGGCUGAGGCGGCGACUGAGGCGCAGCAAAAUGUUGACUUGAAGCAAAGAAGUUUGGUAUUUCCAGAGAAAUGUGACACCUUUAGCAUGGGGAGCAGGCAGCUCCCUGAAAAUGGCACUAAUGUGAAGGUAAGUGAUGAAUUUCUUUGGGCCGCGUAACCUUUAUACGAGAUGGACUAAAGCUGAGAAUGAGUGAGGCUUAYGGGCUGCCAAGAACUUCAGAAGAGUAUUUUGUAGGUUCAGUGUUCAUAGCUUGAAACAACCUGGUUUCCCUCCUCUGUUCCUCACAAUUCAAAGCCUGUAGCAUUCAAUUCCAGGAAUUUGUAUACUUAGGUAUAGCUUGUAGGCAUCUGCUGUCACAUACUAAUUGUUAUUAAUAUCUAUUAAUAGAUGUAAUGGCUCUUUACAAGUCGUGUCGAAGGAAGUGAAAAUGCAAGAGCAGGAGAUUCUUCUGGGUGAGUUUAGUAUUCUGUGUGCUCUUAGUUCAUCUUGAUGGUUUUUGGCCACAGUCUCAAAACGUUACCUCUCAUCGGCCACGUUUCUGUAUAUUCUUGACUUUAAAGGUGUGAUAAGUGAAGUCCUAGGCCAAAAAUAUUUUAUUAGGCUAACACAGAGUAAGUGUGUAAGCAUGGCUGUCUUCUGCACUACAGUUUUGUUAUUGGUACUGUAGAAUUGGAAAAGGGAUAAGAUACUGUUUCUGGUAAGAACGUAUCAGUUUAUCUAAAGAUAUCAUAUGAUGAAAUUAACCAAAAAUUGCUGGAAUUACCGGCAGAUUGACUGGUGGUGAGUCAAGGUUUUUUCUGAUGAUAUCUCUUACAUUAACAAAUAGCUUAAUAUUUAGUGUUGCACUGGUAAUUUAUCCAUGCUGUUGUAUUGCAGGUGUUCAUGCUGUGAAAGCUUGCUUGUCUGAGGAGGAAGAAAUCCACUAAAAUACGCAAGUGACCAAGGGAGUAGUCAUCAUAAACUCGCAUAUUUUCCUGUCCUAAGACUUUAAGAAAUAUUAAAAAUUAUCCUGUUGUGUGUAUAUUAAAAUUAUCAAAACACGUUAUGUUUGGUUCUGUGUGUCAUUUUUACUGCAUAAAGGAGUGUUUUAUUAAAACAGUAUUGUGUCAUGGAAAAAAAAACAUACUGGACACUCAUAAUUUGCUAUAACAUGGUAAAGUAAAUGUAUACACAAUGCAGUAUAAUUACUGCAGAUAAUGUAAAUAAAUUUUAGUUGUAUAAGUAUUCUAUCUGG